ACAAGCUUCCAAGUGCGCCCUUAGCUCACCGAAUAUUCUGUUCCCGUAAUGUCCCCGUUAUGGUGGCGGUUUGGUGGACUGGACACAGUGGAAUACAACGGUGAAGCAGGACGACUGGCAAAAUGCAACUUGCUCCUACUCUUUGGACGCGUGUCUCGUCCAUUGCCAAUCCGAAACACCUCUCAGGAUGAGGAAGGAAGGCAGGAGGCUGGAGUUUGUGUUGUCCACAUGCCACGCAUCAUUCCCUUUGAUACCGCUUUGACCAGAAGAAGAAGAAGGAAGAGAAGUAUCUGGGACACAUUGAUUGAUUUGAUGUUCUUCCUCCUUCGCAAAGCUUAUCAUGAAGUCGGUGGGUCCAACGAUAGCGGCUACUUUUCUGGCAGUGACAUAAAUAUGGAGAAGAGGAAAGGGCUUUAUCAGAACCCAGUGUCCCUAUCCGCUAUACCUUGCAGUUUGUUCAGGAGGCGAUCGGUCCUUGUUUACAUCUGGAAGGCUGAGACGUGUGAGGAACAAGAAGAACCACGCUUGCAAUUUAUAUAUUUAUAUAUAGCCUAUAUAAUGUAUAAAUAUACACGCUAAAGCUGUUGGGGAAGCUCUGCAGAGAAAUAUGCAAGCAUAAAACGAGCGAAACCGAA